GGUAAAUGUAGAGAGUGUCAAUCAAAGGCAGAGCUCAGAGCUGGGAAGAAAGCUCUAGAUGGCGGCUGUGCCUUGGAGAGCGCGCUGAGCCUCCUGCCUUUUUUCCCCCUCUCUCCUCCGCCACUUUUGCGCAACUUUGUGUAACUUUUGGGCGUCCUCAAGGGGCUCCUGCGGCCCCUGGUCUCUUGUGGAGGCCAGUGCUAGGGGGAUCGUGCGUUUUUCGGGCAGAAAAGCAGCUUUGGGGGGACUUUUUUUCCCCCUCUCCCUUCGCCUGGUUAGAAAGAAACAGCCCAGGUCGUUGUUUUUCCCAGCUUGGAAGCCAUGGCGUACCUCCAUUUUUGUGCGCUCUCCUAAUGAGCUUUUUCCUCCGGAUCUUCUUUUUUUCUCCUUUUUUUUUAAAUAUUCCUUUACGGCUUUAAUGAUUGCCGAUGGCAACUAAGCAAUUGCGGGAUCGUGUGGAUUAAUUUCGAAUGUGUUAUUUUUUAAAAGAAGGCGGAUUUUGUUUUUUUUCUUGCCUGCGUUGCGUUUGGAACGCUUCGGAAGCGAAUGUUUUCCCACGACUAGAAACCGGGUUGGGGCUGGCGUUGGAGCCUGGCUCAGUAAAUACCUGGGCACAGGACUUCAGCCCAAAUCCAGCCAUCCUUCUACCUUUCCCUUAAUACUUUAAGAAUUGAAAGAUGUUGAGAAAUACGGACAAAAGCCAAGGAGAGGAGGGUUCAGUGCACAGCCAUGCAUCGAGUCACUCAGCGUCUGAAGAGGGCUCGGGUUCCGACUCAGGGAGCCAGUCAGACAGCGAGCAAGGCAGUGAUCAUGGAAGUGAAACCAACAGCAGCUCCGAGUCUUCGGGAAGUCAAUCCGAAUCAGAGAGCGGGUCCACAGCAUCCAAGUCUCGGCAGACCCCUCCGGAAGCUAAGGAGAAACCAGCAUCCAAGAAAGAAAGGAUAGCUGAUGUCAAAAAAAUGUGGGAAGAGUAUCCCGAUGUUUAUGGGGUGAGACGAUCCAACCGUAGCAGACAGGAGCCUUCGCGUUUUACUAUAAAUGACGAGGUAAGGGUUGAGGAAGCCCAUAAAGAGCAAAAUGCUAUUGCUACUUCCACUAUUACUACUAUUGUAUCGUUGUUUCAUUUCAGAGCAGUGACCAAAUCCAUCCCAAAAAGGAGCAGCAAACCGCAACGGCCGAAGAGGCGGAGGAAAACCGAAUCAUCAGAGGAAGAGGAGGAGGAGGAGGAGGAUGAGACUCCCAAAAGGCAAACUAAGCGCCGAGCAGCCAAAAAUGUCAGUUACAAGGAAGACGAUGACUUUGAGACCGAUUCAGACGACUUGAUUGAGAUGACAGGUGAAGGGGCGGAGGAGCAGCAAAAUAACAGCGAAACCAUUGAGAAAGUGCUGGAGAGGAGAAUAGGCAGGAAAGGAGCCACUGGGGCCUCCACCACUGUCUACUCAAUGGAAGCCAACGGUGAUCCCUGUGCCGAUUUUGAUCCAGAAAAGGAGGAAGGGGAAGUGCAGUACUUGGUUAAAUGGAAAGGUUGGUCAUACAUCCACAGCACAUGGGAAAGUGAGGACUCCUUGCAGCAGCAGAAAGUGAAAGGCAUUAAGAAGCUGGAGAACUUCAAGAAGAAAGAAGAAGACAUCAACAGUUGGUUGGAAAAGGUCACCCCAGAAGACGUAGAGUAUUUCAACUGCCAACAGGAACUGGCAGCUGAGUUGAACAAACAGUACCAGAUUGUGGAAAGAGUGAUUGCCAGAUCCACUUCAGGGUUGACAGACUUUCACAACCGCAAGUCCUCCUCUAAUGAGCCAGAGUACCUUUGCAAGUGGAUGGGACUUCCCUACGCAGAAUGUAGCUGGGAAGAUGAAGCUCUGAUCAGCAAAAAAUUCCAGUACUGUAUUGAUAGCUUCAACAAUAGGAACAACUCCAAAGCCAUGCCUACUCGGGACUGCAAGGUGCUGAAGCAAAGGCCUCGUUUUGUGGCCUUGAAGAACCAACCUUCCUACAUUGGUGGGGAGAAUCUGGAACUCCGCGACUAUCAGCUGGAGGGCUUGAAUUGGUUGGCUCAUUCUUGGUGCAAGAACAACAGUGUCAUCCUGGCGGACGAGAUGGGCUUGGGGAAGACCAUCCAGACCAUUUCUUUCCUCUGCUACCUCUUCUAUCAGCACCAGCUCUAUGGCCCCUUUCUGAUUGUGGUGCCUUUGUCAACCCUAACCUCAUGGCAGAGGGAGUUUGAGAUCUGGGCCCCUGAGGUCAACGUGGUUGUGUACAUUGGAGAUCAGCUGAGCAGGAAUAUCCGUGAGUAUGAGUGGGUCCAUUCUCAGACCAAACGGUUGAAGUUCAACGUGCUGAUUACAACCUAUGAGAUCCUCCUGAAAGACAAGGCCGUUUUGGGAAGCAUCAACUGGGCCUUCCUAGGAGUGGAUGAAGCCCACCGCUUGAAGAAUGACGAUUCUUUGCUCUACAAGACACUGAUCGACUUCAAGUCCAACCACCGCCUGCUCAUCACUGGGACACCCCUUCAGAAUUCCCUGAAGGAACUGUGGUCCCUGCUGCAAUUCAUCAUGCCAGAGAAGUUCGAAUCCUGGGAAGACUUUGAAGAGGACCAUGGCAAAGGACGAGAGAACGGGUACCAGAGCCUGCAUAAGGUCCUGGAGCCCUUUCUCCUGCGCAGGGUGAAGAAGGACGUGGAAAAAUCCCUCCCAGCCAAAGUAGAGCAGAUCCUGAGGGUGGAGAUGUCUGCCCUCCAGAAGCAGUAUUACAAAUGGAUUUUAACAAGGAAUUACAAAGCCCUGUCCAAGGGAACACGUGGCAGCACUUCUGGCUUCCUGAACAUCGUGAUGGAGCUGAAGAAAUGUUGCAAUCACUGUUACCUGAUCAAACCUCCAGAAGAGAAUGAGAGGGAAAACAGCCAGGAGAGGCUGCAGUCUUUAAUCAGGAGCAGUGGGAAACUCAUCCUUCUGGACAAACUGCUCAGCAGGCUCCGUGCGAGGGGCAACCGAGUCCUCAUCUUCUCCCAGAUGGUGAGAAUGUUGGACAUCUUGGCGGAAUAUCUGACCAUCAAGCACUACCCUUUCCAGCGCCUGGACGGUUCUAUCAAAGGAGAAAUCCGGAAGCAGGCUCUGGAUCAUUUCAACGCCGAAGGCUCGGAGGACUUCUGCUUUCUACUCUCCACACGUGCUGGCGGCCUGGGGAUCAACUUGGCGUCGGCUGACACAGUGGUGAUCUUCGAUUCGGACUGGAACCCCCAGAAUGACCUACAGGCUCAGGCUCGGGCUCAUCGGAUUGGCCAAAAGAAACAAGUAAAUAUCUAUCGCUUGGUUACAAAGGGAACAGUGGAAGAGGAGAUUAUAGAAAGAGCAAAGAAGAAAAUGGUGCUGGACCAUCUUGUGAUACAGCGAAUGGACACCACAGGCCGGACAGUUUUGGACAACAGCUCUGAUAGAUCCAAGACAAACCCCUUCAACAAGGAGGAACUGACCGCCAUUUUGAAAUUUGGAGCCGAAGAACUUUUUAAAGAACCCGAAGGGGAAGAAUCUGAACCACAAGAAAUGGACAUUGAGGAAAUCUUACGCCUGGCUGAGACACGAGAGAAUGAACCAUCCACAAGUGCAACAGACGAACUGCUUUCACAAUUUAAAGUAGCAAACUUUGCUACAACAGAAGAGGAAGAAGCCGAGGCGGAAGAGAAAUCUCAGAAGGAGUGGGAAAGCAUCAUUCCUGAGGAACAAAGGAAGAAAGUGGAAGAAGAGGAGCGGCAGAAAGAACUUGAGGAGAUAUACAUGCUGCCCAGGAUUCGCAGCUCAGCCAAAAAGGCUCAGGCCAAUGACAGCGAAUCAGAUGUUGAAAUAAAGAGGAAGCUCCAGAGGUCUUCGGGCUCAGAUACCGAGACAGAGGACUCUGAUGAUGACAAAAGGCCCAAACGCAGAGGACGCCCUCGCAGUGUUCGGAAGGACACAGUGGAAGGCUUUACAGACCCUGAAAUCAGAAGAUUUAUCAAGGCAUACAAGAAGUUUGCUGUUCCUUUGGAACGACUGGAAUGCCUCGCUCGGGAUGCUGAACUGGUAGAGAAAUCGGUAGCUGAUCUGAAACGUUUGGGAGAACUUCUCCAUAACAGUUGUGCUUCAGCCAUGCAGGAGUACGAAGAGCAUCUGAAGGAGAACCCAACUGAAAGUAAAGGACCAGGGAAGAGAAAGGGGCCCACAAUUAAGAUCUCUGGAGUCCAGGUGAAUGUGAAAGCAAUUAUUCAACAUGAGGAGGAGUUUGCGAUGCUCCAUCAGACCAUUCCCAGUGACCCAGUGGAGAGGGCAAGGUUUCGUCUGAACUCCCGUGUCAAAUCUGCCCAUUUUGAUGUAGACUGGGGAGUGGAAGAGGAUUCUUCCUUGCUGCGGGGGAUUUAUGAGCAUGGAUGUGGGAACUGGGAGCUCAUCAAGUCAGACCCAGAACUGAACCUCACUGAAAAGAUUUUACCAGCUGAGACAGAUAAAAAGCCACAGGGGAAGCAGCUCCAGGCGCGAGUAGAUUAUCUGAUGAAGCUUAUCAAAAGAGACAUGAAGAGGAAAGAGAACCCGAACAAGACAGAGGAGGUCAGUUCCGUAACCAAGGCCAAAGUUGUAAAGCCCCGAAUCCGGAAAGAAAACAAACCCCCCAAAAUCAAGGAGGAGCCAGGAAACGAAUCCUCUUCUCCGCAGCCUCCAGACAACCAGUCAGUAGAAGGACAGAAGAAGGUAAGCAUGAGCACUGAGGACCCGGGACUUCCUGGUAGAGAAAAUGGGAUGCUUUCUCCUCUUCUCUUUUCACAGCCCAAAGGCGCCGAGGCCAAACCCGGAAACCAAGGGAAGAAACUGCUGGGUCAGGGUCCCGUCCACAUUACGGCAGGAAGUGACCCUGUCCCCAUUGAAGAAGAGGAAGAGGAUGAGUUAGACCAUGCAACCUUCACCAUUUGCAAAGAGCUGAUGAGGCCAGUUAAGAAGUCCCUGAAGCAGCUGGAUAAGCCAGAAAGAGGACUUACAGACCACGACCAGCUGGAGCAAACACGGAGUUGCCUACUCAAGAUCGGAGACCACAUUGCUGAAUGUUUGAAAAUCCACACUGAACAGGAAGUCUUUAACGUAUGGAGAAGGAAUCUAUGGGUAUUUGUCUCCAAGUUUACUGAAUUUAAUGCCAAGAAAUUACAUAAGAUAUAUAAGAUGGCUAACAAAAAGCGAUCCCGGGAACAGGAGGAACAAAAAAAGAAGGAAGAGGCAACGAGUGGCAAGCGGCUUCGUCCAGAAGCUCCUGGGACCAGUCGAGAUAUUCCGAUGUCUCCUGUCCCCCAUAGCCCUCAUGGUCAAAAACUGCAGCAGCCAUCUCCUCACCCUUCCCAGAUGCAUGGACAUCCACGAGAGAACUACCACCAGCCAAAUAGAAGGCAUUUCAGCCACCCAGAACGAAGCGAAUGGCAGAGGGAUCGCAAAUUUAACUACAGUGGCAAUUCCAAUACGAAUUGGGGCAGAAACCGUUAUCAUGCAUAUGAGCCGCGCUGGCACAAGGAUCACCAUUAUGCGGAUCGCCAGGCGCGCAGAGAACAGUAUCGGAGCUCAGGAAACUACCAGCCCAGCAACCUGUCUCGUAAACGCCCCUACGAUCAGUACAACAGUGAACGCAAUUACCGCGGACAACCGGACUACAGAUACUGUCAUGAAGCCAAGAGACGAAGAUUAGAUGGAUUCCGGCCCCAGAAUUACCAACAAGAUUAUCGGAGGAUGUCUGACUAUAGACCUCCCUUGAGUUAUCACGGGCAAGGGCCAUCCGACCAUUACAGGCCUUUCCACCAAGAUAAAUCAGCCGAUUAUAAGCAACUCCUUCCCCCUCCUCACUCCCAGGUCCCUGACCCUCGCUCUCCAGCUUCUCAGAAAUCUCCACUUGGUGCCAAGUCUCCCAUUCAGCAUCGCUCACCUCUGGAUAGGCCCUUAGAUCAGAAGAACAAUCCAGAUUAUAACUGGAGUGGUCGGAAAACCUAGAGGCCCAGAAUCAGAGGCCAACGGAAAGAGCUAGUCCGGCCCAAGGAAACACCAGUUAUAGGGCCAUCAAUGCUGGAACCAGAAAGCCUGAAUACAGUGCUGUAGAGCUUGGGGCUGUAAGAAUUGGAAGGGGGUCAGAAAAACUGGAUCCACCGGGGAGCCUGAACUUUAGCUCCAAAUUUGCCUUCCAUCAGGAUACUGGCUGGGUGUUGGGAGGGGUCUUCCCUGCACCAAGAGAUCUGUAGAGAACAAGGUCAGGUCUACCACCUACGUUUUGGAACGAAGAUUUUGGGUUUGUAUCCAUAAUGCCAACUUGAAUUCUGGACAUUUCACAGAAUGGACAGACAGGCUGCAAAGGGUACAGACGGAGGCAAAAGCUAUAUGGUUUUGGAGUUCAGGUUCAAUUUGCUGCCGGAAGGGGGUGAUAAGGAAGACCACGAUAGCUACAGCUGUUGAAUAAAACAUUGGCGUCAGGGAGGGCA
rnacentral:lncRNA from 1 species